rnacentral:rRNA from 1 species
AGACAACGGAGGAAGGUGGGGAUGACGUCAAGUCAUCAUGGCCCUUAUGUCCUGGGCUACACACGUGCUACAAUGGCCGGUACAGAGCGCAGCGAUACCGCGAGGUGGAGCAAAUCGCAGAAAGCCGGUCUCAGUACGGAUUGGAGUCUGAAACCCGACUUCAUGAAGGUGGAAUCGCUAGUAAUCGCGCAUCAGCAUGGCGCGGUGAAUACGUUCCCGGGCCUU